UACGUAGGGGCAAGCGUUGUCCGGAUUCAUUGGCGUAAAGAGCGUGUAGGCGGCCAGGUAGGUCGGUUGUGAAACUGGAGGCUCAACCUUCAGAGGUCGACCGAAACCAUCUGGCUAGAGUCCGGAGAGGAGAGUGGAAUUCCUGGUGUAGCGGUGAAUGACGCAGAUAUCAGGAAGAACACCCGUGGCGAAAGCGGCUCUCUGGAACGGUACUGACGCUGAGACGCGAAGCGUGGGGAGCGAACAGG
rnacentral:rRNA from 1 species